rnacentral:rRNA from 1 species
AUGGGGGCAACCCUGAUCCAGCAAUGCCGCGUGAGUGAAGAAGGCCCUCGGGUUGUAAAGCUCUUUUGUCAGGGAAGAAACGGAGUUCUCUAAUAUAGGAUUCUAAUGACGGUACCUGAAGAAUAAGCACCGGCUAACUACGUGCCAGCAGCCGCGGUAAUACGUAGGGUGCAAGCGUUAAUCGGAAUUACUGGGCGUAAAGCGUGCGCAGGCGGUUUUGUAAGUCUGAUGUGAAAUCCCCGGGCUCAACCUGGGAACUGCAUUGGAGACUGCAAGGCUAGAGUGUGUCAGAGGGGGGUAGAAUUCCACGUGUAGCAGUGAAAUGCGUAGAGAUGUGGAGGAAUACCGAUGGCGAAGGCAGCCCCCUGGGAUAACACUGACGCUCAUGCACGAAAGCGUGGGGAGCAAACAGGAUUAGAUACCCUGGUAGUCCACGCCCUAAACGAUGUCUACUAGUUGUCGGGACUUAAUUGUCUUGGUAACGCAGCUAACGCGUGAAGUAGACCGCCU